UACGUAGGUGGCAAGCGUUAUCCGGAAUUAUUGGGCGUAAAGCGCGCGCAGGCGGUUUCUUAAGUCUGAUGUGAAAGCCCACGGCUCAACCGUGGAGGGUCAUUGGAAACUGGGGAACUUGAGUGCAGAAGAGAAAAGCGGAAUUCCACGUGUAGCGGUGAAAUGCGUAGAGAUGUGGAGGAACACCAGUGGCGAAGGCGGCUCACUGGACCACAACUGACGCUGAGGCGCGAAAGCGUGGGGAGCGAACAGG
rnacentral:rRNA from 1 species